rnacentral:lncRNA from 1 species
CGACUUUCGGGACAGCUACUCAAUCUUUGCUGUUUUGCUUUGCUAUUCAACCUCUCAAGAACUCUCACCACCUAGCGCCAUCUUCCCCCAAACUUGGAAUCUCUUGCUAUUCUUUUUAUUUUCGAGCCCUAGACGGUAGUCGGCAAUCACCUUCGAUUCCACUGAUGACUCCAAAGACGGCAGCAUAGCAGAAGAAGAAGCCCAAAGCAAUCUUGUUUCUCCGUUUUUUUUUUUUUGUUAUUUUGAUUUGUUUAAUGUUUUAAACUUUCAAUUUUUUUUAUUUUGGUAACAUAUGGUGAACUUAAUAUUGUUUUAUGAGUUAGAUGGCCUAUUAAUCUUUUCUUGAGCAUUGUGUUGGAACUAAAAUCAUGUAUUAGUUUUGUAUUGUAUAUGGAAUUAGCUCUGUGAAUUCAUUGCUCUGUGAAAUGUGAAUUGCUUUUGCUUCUAGUAUUACUACCACUGUGAAUUGCUCUAUUUUUGCUUUUAGUAUUUGUGAUUCUGUGAAUUGAAUUGCUUCUAGUAAUUGGAUGUUGAGAAUUGCUAAUGGAAAUUUCUUGAAUCUUUCCACUAAACGCAUACAUUGUUCGAAUUCUAUUGCCAACAAAAAACUGAAAUGUGCUCUAAACUAGUAGCUUAUCUGGAAAACUGAUCAUAGUCAAAUUAAGUAGCAUUUCAAGAAAUAGAGGGAAUUCUAUUACAUGGUUGAGUGUCGAUGGUUUUUAUUCAAGUGUUUGAAUCAAAUAUUUAAUUUUCUCAAAUACAAUUUUCUAGAUUUUAAAUCUAUAUUAUAUCUAGAACUAGAUUGAUUGAAGCUUGCUAAUUUGAUAGGGCGAAAUGGAUGUGCUCUUGCUCUUAUGAUUGCUAGGGAUGUGAUGUAGGGCGCUAACCAAUCCGUCAUCCUUCACAUACUAGAUGUUCAUCUUGCUGUUGAGACACUUAAUGGAGUGAGAUGGGACUGUUCAAUACUGCGCUCCCUCUUCUCAAAGGUUAGUUAUUUACUCUAGAGUAGUGAAAAUAAUCAUCAAUAAUUUCAUAAAUUUUGACAUUUUGUAUGCCAGAUGAGAUAUGAGUUAAAAGUGGAUAACUUUUAUCUAUCUACUAUGCUAUUUAAAUUAGGUGGUGUUGCAACAACUAAUGCUGUUGAAACAUGCAAUGGAGUCAACAUUACAGUGAUGGUUGGUGGUUUCCCCAGGAAAGAGGAAAGAUGUGAUAUUAAAGAAUGUUUCAUAUACAAAUCCCACGCUUCAGUUCUUGAGAAGCAGGCCAUUGCCAACUGCAAUGUGAUUAGCUUAUAUUGAGCUUUCUUGAUGGUCUUUUUUUAUGGAAUUUUUAUAGAAUAAUGCUAUGGCAAGUAAAGAUGAGGGAUAUCCUGGCGUAGUUGGAUUUGGACGAUGCGCUGCUAGGUUUUAAGAAGAUACCAACUGAUUGGACAAUAGAAGAUAAAGAAAUGUGGGAUUGGAAGGCUUUAUCGUAGAUCCAUCUUCAUUUAUAUAGCAAUAUUCUGCAGGAUGUCUUGAAGGAGAAAAUAGUAGCUGCCUUGUGGUUGAAAUUGGAGUAGUUAUGUAUAACUAAAAGUCUCACGAGCAAACUGACUCUAAAGUAGAAGCUAUAUUCUCAUUACAUGGUAGAAGGAGGGUCACUGGAGGACCAUAUUGCAGUGUUCAAGAAAAUAGUUGCAGAUCUGGAGAUGUUGGAGGUUAAGUAAGAUGAAGAGGAUCUGACCUUGAUCAUGUGGAAUUUGCCACCUGGCUCUUAUGCAUCGUUUUGGGACACAAUUUUUUAUAGUCGGGAUACUUUGACUAUAAACGACGUCUAUGAUGCUUUGCACUCAAAGGAGAAGUUGAAGCAUUUGGUUUGAGCUAUAUCGAGGGAUGAGGAAGUUUUUGUAUUUCAUGGUGGUCGACGGAGAGGCAGAUCGAAAAAUAGCAACAAUUUUGUUUUGCUUUUACUAUACUAUAGACGUAAGGGACAUAUUUAGAAGGAAUGUGAUAAGUUGCAGGCUAAUGGUGAUUUGGCUGCAAGUCGUGAAGCGCAACUUUUGACUUCAGAUGAAACAAAUGUAGUUGAUAAUUUUUCAGAAGGCGGAGAUGUGAUGUUGAUCAUGAUAUCUGACAUGGAAUUUAGGUCUGACGAGGAGUCGAUUCUUGAUUCGGUAUGUUCGUAUCAUAGGUGUUCUAAUCGGACUUUCUUUCAGACAUUUGAAAUUGUUCAGCAAGAUGGAGUUGGAAUGGGAAACAAUCAAUUUUGCCGUAUUACUGGGAUCGGUCAAGUUAGAUUUAGGCUGCGGGAUGGGACAGUCAUAACUAUUGAUCAGGUUCGACAUGUUCCAGACCUGAAAAUGAAUCUCAUCUCGCUUAGUACUUUAAAUGCAAAAGGGUAUAAAUUCUCUAGUGGAGGUGGAGUCCUGAAGGUCCGAAAGAGUGUCCGAGUUGUGCUAGAUGGAUGGAGAAUGUCUCAGUUCUACAUCUUGUAGGGGAGCACAGAAUAAGUUAAGAGACAUAUGGACAAAUUCAGUUUCGUGGUAGAUAUUUAGUUUGGUACAAUACCUCUUGUGACGGGCUUUGGAUCGAUUCAGAACAUUGCUCGAGGAAGCGUUGGUAAUUCCGCUUUGCCACCAAUUUCAGCGGUUUUACUAUAUUCAGUUACUAGGAUUAGAUCCACUGAGCGUAGGAACCGUGGUGUCAAUGAUGUCUGUACUGCUUUUGGGGAUGUUAAAGGUGACAGUUCCAACAAUGGGCCUUCUGUUCAGACAUUUUGUAUGAUUUCUGCUAUAGGGUGUGCUUCGACCCUGUUUGGUAAACAUUAAACCAUUGUCCUUUGCACAGCGUCAACAAGAUUGGGAACAAGAUUGUGAAAAGAGAUCAAAAGGUUGGGAACAUAUAGUUUUAACUUGGC